rnacentral:rRNA from 1 species
CGAGCGGAGAUUGAGAGCUUGCUCUCAUGAUCAGCGGCGGACGGGUGAGUAACACGUGAGCAACCUGCCUUUCAGAGGGGGACAACAGUUGGAAACGACUGCUAAUACCGCAUAACAUUGCCGAACGGCAUCGUUUGGCAAUCAAAGGAGCAAUCCGCUGAAAGAUGGGCUCGCGUCUGAUUAGAUAGUUGGUGAGGUAACGGCCCACCAAGUCGACGAUCAGUAGCCGGACUGAGAGGUUGAUCGGCCACAUUGGGACUGAGACACGGCCCAGACUCCUGCGGGAGGCAGCAGUGGGGGAUAUUGGACAAUGGGGGAAACCCUGAUCCAGCGAUGCCGCGUGAGGGAAGAAGGUUUUCGGAUUGUAAACCUCUGUGGACAGGGACGAUAAUGACGGUACCUGUUUAGAAAGCCACGGCUAACUACGUGCCAGCAGCCGCGGUAAUACGU